UGGGGGAUAUUGCACAAUGGGCGAAAGCCUGAUGCAGCGACGCCGCGUGGGGGAUGAAGGCUUUCGGGUUGUAAACCUCUUUCGCUAUCGAACAAGGCCCGCUUAGGGUGGGUUUAGGGUAGGUGGAGAAGAAGCGCCGGCUAACUACGUGCCAGCAGCCGCGGUAAUACGUAGGGCGCGAGCGUUGUCCGGAAUUAUUGGGCGUAUAGGGCUUGUAGGCGGCUUGUUGCGCCUGCUGUGAAAACGCGGGGCUUAACUUCGCGCGUGCAGUGGGUACGGGCAGGCUUGAGUGUGGUAGGGGUGACUGGAAUUCCAGGUGUAGCGGUGGAAUGCGCAGAUAUCUGGAGGAACACCGAUGGCGAAGGCAGGUCACUGGGCCAUUACUGACGCUGAGGAGCGAAAGCAUGGGUAGCGAACAGG
rnacentral:rRNA from 1 species